GCUCAGGAUGAACGCUGGCGGCGUGCUUAACACAUGCAAGUCGAACGAAGCACUUUGAUUGAUUUCUUCGGAUUGAAAUUUUAGUGACUGAGUGGCGGACGGGUGAGUAACGCGUGGGUAACCUGCCUCACACAGGGGGAUAACAGUUGGAAACGGCUGCUAAUACCGCAUAAGCGCACAGUACCGCAUGGUACAGUGUGAAAAACUCCGGUGGUGUGAGAUGGACCCGCGUCUGAUUAGCUAGUUGGCAGGGCAGCGGCCUACCAAGGCGACGAUCAGUAGCCGACCUGAGAGGGUGACCGGCCACAUUGGGACUGAGACACGGCCCAAACUCCUACGGGAGGCAGCAGUA
rnacentral:rRNA from 1 species